UACAGAGGGUGCGAGCGUUAAUCGGAAUUACUGGGCGUAAAGCGCACGUAGUCGGCUUUGCAAGUCGGUUGUGAAAUCCCCGGGCUCAACCUGGGAACUGCAUCCGAGACUGCAUUGCUAGAGUAUGGGAGAGGGAAGCGGAAUUUCUGGUGUAGCAGUGAAAUGCGUAGAUAUCGGGAGGAACACCAGUGGCGAAGGCGACUUCCUGGCCUGUUCUUGACGCUGAGGCGCGAAAGCUAGGGGAGCAAACGGG
rnacentral:rRNA from 1 species